AGCGAACGUUAGCGGCGCGCUUAACACAUGCAAGUCGAACGAGAAAGGGACUUCGGUCCCCGGUAAAGUGGCGCACGGGUGCGUAACACGUAGGCAAUCUUCCCUCAGGUGGGGGAUAACUACCCGAAAGGGUAGCUAAUACCGCGUAGACCACGGUUUCCACGGAAACAGCGGUCAAAGGAGGCCUCUUCAUGAAAGCUUCCGCCGGAGGAUGAGCCUGCGGCCCAUCAGCUAGUUGGCAGGGUAACGGCCUACCAAGGCGAAGACGGGUAGCCGGUCGGAGAGGAUGAUCGGCCACACUGGCACUGAAACACGGGCCAGACUCCUACGGGAGGCAGCAGUGGGGAAUCUUGGACAAUGGGCGAAAGCCUGAUCCAGCGACGCCGCGUGGGUGAUGAAGGCCUUCGGGUUGUAAAGCCCUGUUGAGGGGAAAGAAAACGUUGGGCGCGAAUAGCUCCCGACCUUGACGGUACCCCUCCAGAAAGCACCGGCUAACUCUGUGCCAGCCGCCGCGGUAACAC
rnacentral:rRNA from 1 species